AUUACCGCGGCUGCUGGCACGGAAUUAGCCGGUCCUUAUUCAUACAGUACCUACAAAUAACCACACGUGGCUAACUUUAUUCCUGUAUAAAAGCAGUUUACAACCCAUAGGGCCGUCAUCCUGCACGCUACUUGGCUGGUUCAGGCUUUCGCCCAUUGACCAAUAUUCCUCACUGCUGCCUCCCGUAGG
rnacentral:rRNA from 1 species